rnacentral:rRNA from 1 species
GACGUAGGAGGCGAGCGUUGUCCGGAUUCAUUGGGCGUAAAGAGCACGCAGGCGGUCUGUCACGUCGGAUGUGAAAAUCAGGGCUUAACCCUGGACCUGCAUUCGAUACGGGCAGACUAGAGUUCGGUAGGGGAGAGUGGAAUUCCUAGUGUAGCGGUGAAAUGCGUAGAGAUUAGGAAGAACACCAGUGGCGAAGGCGACUCUCUGGACUGUAACUGACGCUGAGGCUCGAAAGCGUGGGGAGCAAACAGG